rnacentral:tRNA from 1 species
AAGGCUUUAGCUUAAUUAAAGUGUCUGGGUUGCAUUCAGAAGAUAUGAGAUAGAGUCUUGUAAGCCUUA